rnacentral:rRNA from 1 species
CCCUAUGGGGUGCAGCAGGCGCGAAACCUUUACAAUGCACGAAAGUGUGAUAAGGGAAUCCUAAGUGCUCAUGUUUUUCAUGGGCUUUUUUUAAGGGUAAAUACCUUGAAGAAUAAGUGGUGGGUAAGACUGGUGCCAGCAGCCGCGGUAACACCAGCGCCACGAGUGGGAACCAGCUUUAUUUGGCCUAAAGCGUCCGUAGCUUGCUUAGUAAAUCUUUUGUGAAAUCGUUAAGCUUAACUUAACGGCGUGCAGAAGACACUGCUUAGCUUGAGACCGGGAGGGGUAUGGAGUAUUCUAGGGGGACCGGUAAAAUGGGAUAAUCCUUGGAAGACUACCUGUGGCGAAGGCGCCAUACCAGAACGGGUCUGACAGUGAGGGACGAAGGCUAGGGGAGCGAACCGGAUUAGAUACCCGAGUAGUCCUAGCAGUAAACGCUGCGGGUUAGGUGUUGCAUAAUCUACGUGAUUGCGCAGUGUCGAAGCGAAGGCAUUAAACCCGCCGCCUGGGAAGUAUGGUCGCAAGACUGAAACUUAAAGGAAUUGGCGGGGGAGCACCACAAGGGGUGCGGCGUGCGGUUUAAUCUAACUCAACACAGAGAAUCUCACCAGAGGCGACGGCAGAAUGAAGAUCAGUCUAAAGGGCUUAUCUGACGAGCCGAGAGGUAGUGCAUGGCC